rnacentral:hammerhead_ribozyme from 1 species
AUCCAACUGACAGGUCCCAAACAGGACGUAACGCGCGUCCUGAAU